UCCAGACUCCUACGGGAGGCAGCAGUGAGGAAUAUUGGUCAAUGGCCGCAGGGCUGAACCAGCCAAGUCGCGUGAGGGAUGACGGUCCUAUGGAUUGUAAACCUCUUUUGUCAGGGAGCAAAGGGCGCCACGUGUGGCGUUUUGCGAGUACCUGAAGAAAAAGCAUCGGCUAACUCCGUGCCAGCAGCCGCGGUAAUACGGAGGAUGCGAGCGUUAUCCGGAUUUAUUGGGUUUAAAGGGUGCGCAGGCGGAGGUGCAAGUCAGCGGUCAAAUUGCGGGGCUCAACCCCGUACUGCCGUUGAAACUGGCAGUCUCGAGUUGGAGAGAAGUAUGCGGAAUGCGCGGUGUAGCGGUGAAAUGCAUAGAUAUCGCGCAGAACUCCGAUUGCGAAGGCAGCAUGCCGGCUCCACACUGACGCUGAGGCACGAAAGCGUGGGUAUCGAACAGGAUUAGAUACCCGUGUA
rnacentral:rRNA from 1 species